GCCGCGGUGCUGGAACUGGUAGACAGGCAGGACUUAGGAUCCUGUUCCCUUUUUUGGGAGUGUGGGUUCAACUCCCACCCGCGGCA
rnacentral:tRNA from 1 species